rnacentral:sRNA from 1 species
UUUGGCACCGUUCAAAUAAAUGGUGUCACCACGGAUUAUGUGGAUGACAGAAGUCGUGAGAAGACUAAAAGAUGAUUGGGACAACAACGGGCUCCAGCUGGUAUGACAAUUUCAUGGGAAAUGAAAAUCCUGUGUCGAACGUCAACGGGCACCACUACUAGCUUUGGACCAGGUCUCUUGCAUAGGCAACAUGAAGAAUGACCUCUGGUGGUACAGGGAAAUGGAAGGGUAACCGAAGGCGGACUGAAUGGAGCCUGUUGUGAGGGGUGAAGGACCUUUUCCUCAGGUUGCUGCAGUGAUGUGCUGCUCUUUUUCUUGUCAUCCUUCCUUCGCAGAAUAGAGUCAAACAUGUGGCGACAUCUGUUGCAUAAAGAGUCUGUUUCACAUGGUGUCCUACCAGUAGGUUUGUACAGAAGAGACUUGUACUUCUUGUGGAUAGGGUAUCUGUCUUUCUGGCGAGUUCUCCUUUGACAGUUAAAACAAUCGUAUGAUUUAGGUCCACAGCUUUUUGAACGAGGCAUCUAAAAUUUUAAGUAAAACACAAAAUUAGACCUUACUUUUAAUGCUAUGUUUUAUUUGAAAUUUCAUUAAUUAUUUUUCAUUUAAAAAAUUAUUCUAUUACCAGUGAAGCAUCUAUGUCAAUACAGAUGAACAUAUUAUAUUUUAAUUUCUUAAACAUGUUAAUUUUCAUGGUUUUCAUUUUCCAUGUUUUUUCAAGUGUGUUAACUUUUUGUUUUCUUAAUCUGAUUUUAAAAUGUUUGCUUGUCUAGAGUUACAUGUUUUGUAUUUGAGUUGUUUCCCUUGUUGGAUUAUCAUUUUUUUGUAAUAUUAUUUCUCUUAAAAUCAUAAAAUAU